GAUGAACGCUGGCGGCGUGCCUAAUACAUGCAAGUCGAGCGAACGGACGAGAAGCUUGCUUCUCUGAUGUUAGCGGCGGACGGGUGAGUAACACGUGGAUAACCUACCUAUAAGACUGGGAUAACUUCGGGAAACCGGAGCUAAUACCGGAUAAUAUUUUGAACCGCAUGGUUCAAAAGUGAAAGACGGUCUUGCUGUCACUUAUAGAUGGAUCCGCGCUGCAUUAGCUAGUUGGUAAGGUAACGGCUUACCAAGGCAACGAUGCAUAGCCGACCUGAGAGGGUGAUCGGCCACACUGGAACUGAGACACGGUCCAGACUCCUACGGGAGGCAGCAGUAGGGAAUCUUCCGCAAUGGGCGAAAGCCUGACGGAGCAACGCCGCGUGAGUGAUGAAGGUCUUCGGAUCGUAAAACUCUGUUAUUAGGGAAGAACAUAUGUGUAAGUAACUGUGCACAUCUUGACGGUACCUUAUCAGAAAGCCACGGCUAACUACGUG
rnacentral:rRNA from 1 species